AGCCUCGUAGCUCGGUUGGCUAGAGCGUUGGUAGUGUACUAAAGCCUUUUCCUUGCUGGCGUGGGUUCAAAUCCCACCGAGGCCG
rnacentral:tRNA from 1 species